rnacentral:rRNA from 1 species
CCACAAGAUGAGAUUUCUUUUAAGGGUCGUGAGAGACGAUCACGUUGAUAGGCUAUAGGUGUAAAGGCAGUAAUGUCAUAGCCAAGUAGUACUAAUAACCCGUAUUGCUUAUGCAU